rnacentral:rRNA from 1 species
UGGGGAAUAUUGCACAAUGGGCGCAAGCCUGAUGCAGCCAUGCCGCGUGUGUGAAGAAGGCCUUCGGGUUGUAAAGCACUUUCAGCGGGGAGGAAGGCGGUGAGGUUAAUAACCUCAUCGAUUGACGUUACCCGCAGAAGAAGCACCGGCUAACUCCGUGCCAGCAGCCGCGGUAAUACGGAGGGUGCAAGCGUUAAUCGGAAUUACUGGGCGUAAAGCGCACGCAGGCGGUCUGUCAAGUCGGAUGUGAAAUCCCCGGGCUCAACCUGGGAACUGGAUUCGAAACUGGCAGGCUAGAGUCUUGUAGAGGGGGGUAGAAUUCCAGGUGUAGCGGUGAAAUGCGUAGAGAUCUGGAGGAAUACCGGUGGCGGAGGCGGCCCCAUGGACAAAGACUGACGCUCAGGUGCGAAAGCGUGGGGAGCAAACAGG